AGAGUUUCGAUCCUGGCUCAGAUUGAACGCUGGCGGCGUGCCUAACACAUGCAAGUCGAGCGGCAGCGCGGGGGCGAACCCUGGCGGCGAGCGGCGGACGGGUGAGUAACGCUUGGGAAUCUGCCUGUUAGUGGGGGACAACCCGGGGAAACUCGGGCUAAUACCGCAUACGCACUACGGUGGAAAGCCGGGGACCGCAAGGCCUGGCGCUAACAGAUGAGCCCAAGUCGGAUUAGCUAGUUGUAGGGUAACGGCCUACCAAGGCGACGAUCCGUAACUGGUCUGAGAGGACGACCAGUCACACCGGAACUGAGACACGGUCCGGACUCCUACGGGAGGCAGCAGUGGGGAAUAUUGGACAAUGGGGGAAACCCUGAUCCAGCGACGCCGCGUGGGUGAAGAAGGCCUGCGGGUUGUAAAGCCCUUUCGGUGGGGAAGAAAAGCCUCGAGUUAACACCUCGGGGUCUUGACGUAACCCAUAGAAGAAGCACCGGCUAACUCUGUG
rnacentral:rRNA from 1 species